GGUUUCCAGAAGGUGCGGGAACUAACUUAAUCCUGCACCAGUUUGUGCUCCUCAGAGACCUCCCACUCGCUCAGUACUUUAAUCCUGCAGUUACUUUUUCUCUGCUAAACCAACACUAACUGCAGUCUGCAGUGAAUAACGAACAGGCGAGCUUAACAAAAGGAGUCGAACUCCUGCCUUAAGUCUGCACUGUGACUAAUUUAAUUGCUUACAGCUUGCUUUCCUUCAGAAGCAAGCAGCUUGGCUUUAUUGUACCGUUCUGCCCAGGAGCAGGUGGAUUAAGCCUUCCCCACCUGAACUGGAAAUGUAGGGCUUUAUUAAGGGGAAAAAUAGCAAGCUAAGGAAGGAAAGUUCUUCCUGAGAAAAAGAAAAGGAGUUUCAUUGGCUUUCAAUAGGUAAUUUUUCCACAGUCACAGACCCCCACAUGGCCUAUUGGAAUAUGCAAGCAGCGACAGAAAUCCAAGCAACCUACAAAAAGAAGGGAGAAAAAGAAGAGAGGGGAAAAAGAGAGAAAAAAAGUGGUGGAAGAAAGGAACAUGAAACAGAAAGAAAAGAGAAAGAAAAAGCAGAGGAGGGAGGAAGACAUCACCUUCAAAGCUCCCCAUGUGUGAGCUGCUCCCUUGCUCACGGAGAACUAGGACCAUCAGAGAGCACAGCGAUGGAAGGACCAGCAGUAAGGCUGCCAGGCAUAUAUCGCUUCCUUCCUCCUUUCCAAGGGCUUCUUGUCAGCUCAGCUUUCAUCCAGAGGAUACUCCUCGCUCUCGAUCAGCUCCUUUCUUUUCUUCUUUGCUGCCUGAGUAAGCUGUCAAGCAGGUGUCACUGUUGUGUCAUGCCUCGCUCCCUUCCCUUGACAGCGGAGCUCACUCACCGAGUUGCUCCCGGUGAUAUUUAUGAGGUGCAGAUGCUCUUCAUGCUCAUUUCAGAAACAAACCUGCAGGUGCCUGGACAACACAACCCCGAACCAGGACCCUGGGUUAUUUCUAGGCAUGUUCCCAGCAGGAACGAGCACUAAUUUGAGUCGUCUUUAUCCCCACCCACAGUGUCCAUAGGUUGUAAACUCAUGUUUGAUGACGUUGUUUUGUAUGUUUUGAUAAUUACUUGGUAUGUCACGGGAGUUCCCAGGUAUACAUGUCUCUACCGCUUGCGUAGCCUAGGACCAGAAGCAAUUUGUCUUUCCAGCAAGACCUCUCUGCCUUCAGGUGAAUACAAGACAACACUGCACGUCUCUGGAUGUUUUCAUACCAAAGCCUUUGUGAUUUUUGAAAUCCAAAAAUGGACACCAGUCAUGCUAAAAGCAUGCAUCAUACCUGGACACUGACGGUAACAGGGGACGCUCUGCAUCCAAAUCAGGAUGGCUUUCAAACCCAAAUUCUUUGUGCCAUGACCGGUAGUUUCAGUGAUUCAGAACUGGAAAAUGAAUCCUGUGACAUGACACAAGUUGUUGCAUCCCACCACAUCGUUUACCAGUCUGUGGAUAGAACCAAAGCUAGAGCCUAUGGGCUAACCAACCUGAGGAAUGCAGGUGCCAAAUGUUUAAUGAACUGAAGAGUAGCACUUAAGAUAUAAUUUCAUUGGCACCACGCUUCCUAAUGUCUAGUUCACAGCACAGAGAAAAAUGAAAAAUGAAAUGGUAUGGAAUUCACGUUGGAAUUAAAGGAAUUAAAGUUUUUAAAACAAACAAGCAAACGAAGACAUUUUCAAAUUAGUGAUUGCCUGAGUCAUAAUCUACCAGCAGCUUCUCCUUUACAAUACAGGUCCCUAGUAAAUUACAUCAGACUAAACUCUGGGGCUGAAUGAAACAAGUCUUCUGGCAACCUAAAAAAAAAAUAAAAAUAGAAAAAAAAUUGGUUGAGUUAUUCCU
ensembl:lncRNA